CCUGGCUCAGAUUGAACGCUGGCGGCAUGCUUAACACACGCAAGUCGAACGGCAGCAUAGUCUAGCUUGCUAGAUGGGUGGCGAGUGGCGAACGGGUGAGUAACGCGUAGGAAUAUGCCUUAAAGUGGGGGACAACUUGGGGAAACUCAAGCUAAUACCGCAUAAUCUCUGAGGAGAGAAGCUGGGGACCGCAAGGCCUGGCGCUUUAAGAUUAGCCU
rnacentral:rRNA from 1 species